rnacentral:rRNA from 1 species
AGGCUAAUACCGCAUAAUACCCACGGGUCAAAGGAGCAAUUCGCUUGAGGAGGAGGUCGCGGCCCGAUUAGUUAGUUGGCGGGGUAAUGGCCCCACCAAGACGGUGAUCGGUAUCCGGCCUGAGAGGGCGCACGGACACACUGGAACUGAAACACGGUCCAGACUCCUACGGGAGGCAGCAGUGGGGAAUUUUGCGCAAUGGGGGAAACCCUGACGCAGCAACGCCGCGUGGAGGAUGAAGUCUCUUGGGACGUAAACUCCUUUCGAUCGGGACGAUUAUGACGGUACCGGAAGAAGAAGCCCCGGCUAACUUCGUG